rnacentral:tRNA from 1 species
GGAGAGGUGGCCGAGCGGUCUAAGGCGCUUGAUUCGAAAUCAAGUGUGGGGCGACUCACCGUGGGUUCGAAUCCCACCCUCUCCGCCC